rnacentral:rRNA from 1 species
UACGGAGGGUGCAAGCGUUAUCCGGAUUUAUUGGGUUUAAAGGGUCCGUAGGCGGGAUUAUAAGUCAGAGGUGAAAUCUCACAGCUUAACUGUGAAACUGCCUUUGAUACUGUAGUCCUUGAGUAUGAUUGAAGUAGGCGGAAUGUAUCGUUUAGCGGUGAAAUGCAUAGAUAUGAUACAGAACACCAAUCGUGAAAACAGCUUACUAAGUCAUUACUGACGCUAAUGGACGAAAGCGUGGGGAGCGAACAGG